UACAGUUACAGAAGACGAUUCUACUCAUAAAGGGUUCUCAUUAUGUUUUUCAAUGUAUUCUAUUUUAUAGAAUCUCGGAGUUGGAAGAGAAUUUGGAGGCCACGUUUGAUAACAAGAGCCAAGAUCUCACAAGUUCUUUCCCAUGUAAACAUCAGACUGUAGAACCUCACUAAGAGAAAACACAGGUUGGGACUUUCCCCCCCUUUCUAAACUGAGACUAUUAGCUAUGUUCUGUCAGACAAAAAUUAUAGUCUCUGAAAUACCAGAUAGUUCAUAAGAGGUUAUAAAAAUGACUUUAUAAUCCCCUCUCCAUCAUGUAAGCAGACAUGUUUCAGCUUUCCAGCAUUUCCCCAUGUGGCCCAGUGCAGGACUUAACAUUGCAGAGAAACUCCCCAUAUGUGGCCCUGCGCAGAACUGCUUUAUUCAGCUGCAGAGAAGCCCAGAUGCUUUAUCGACUUUGUGCUUGGGUGGGUGACUUGGGUUAAUAGGGAUGGAGACAUGAAGCCAAAGGAAAAGAAAGAAGACCUUUGCCUUCUUAUUCAAAAGGAAAUGUUGAACAUCCCUAGUUCCUUCAAAGCAUCUUCUAGGGCAUGGACUAAAGACCUGUCGCCAUCCUGGAUGCCCUCUGCUGGACAGUCUUUAGAUUCUCAAAGGGAUGCUAGGAUGUCUAGAGACAAUGGCAGAGAUGGAAGAACAUUUGCUUCCAGGAUUCUGCUACAGAAAACAAAUACUCUCAAAGGCUUUAACAACAAGAAUUGUUCUCUGAAUGUCCACAGAGUCAUUGGAAAAGGACUUCACUUGGAAGUAAUUGGCUUCCUGACAUGUGGGUGCACUGCCUCUUUGCAAGGCGCAGCAGGUCGAGGAGAGAUCAGAGAAGAUAAAACAGACACAAUGAGGAAAAUAUAGACCUUCAAACAGAAAAACAGUGCUUCGCACAAUAUUGGGAACAUAAUAAGUCCUUAAUAAAUAUGUGUUUUGAGGAACA
rnacentral:lncRNA from 1 species